GCCCGCUCUAGAGAUUAGAGUUUUACUUCGGUACAUCGGUGACAGGUGGUGCAUGGUUGUCGUCAGCUCGUGUCGUGAGAUGUUGGGUUAAGUCCCGCAACGAGCGCAACCCUUAUUGUUAGUUGCCAUCAUUCAGUUGGGCACUCUAGCGAGACUGCCGGUAAUAAACCGGAGGAAGGUGGGGAUGACGUCAAAUCAUCAUGCCCCUUAUGACCUGGGCUACACACGUGCUACAAUGGCUGGUACAACGAGUCGCAAGUCGGUGACGGCAAGCUAAUCUCUUAAAGCCAGUCUCAGUUCGGAUUGUAGGCUGCAACUCGCCUACAUGAAGUCGGAAUCGCUAGUAAUCGCGGAUCAGCACGCCGCGGUGAAUACGUUCCCGGGCCUUGUACACACCGCCCGUCACACCACGAGAGUUUGUAACACCCGAAGUCGGUGAGGUAACCUUUUAGGAGCCAGCCGCCUAAGGUGGGAUAGAUGAUUGGGGUGAAGUCGUAACAAGGUAAGCGUAGAUGA
rnacentral:rRNA from 1 species